CUGUAUGGUGUGUGCAUGUGUGCGUGUAUGCGCUUCAUAAAAUUGAAAAGACAGCAGAGCAGAGCAGAGCAAGCCGAUCAUCUACUAGUAAUAUUGGAUAAUUGCCAAUUGUGACUUGUUUUUAUUUUGUUGAAUGUGGAUGUGGAAUGACAAUAGCGGAGCAAGGGUGGAGGUGACAGAGUACUACAACUGUUGGAGGGGGAUUUCUGAAUUAGCGGGGAAGGCCUGUCGAUGGUACUGAUCUCUCAUAGCGAGUUGAAGAACUAUCUGUUAGCACAGAGGAAAGAAACACUACUUAAAUAUGCUUAUUCCAUGCUGUUAGUCACCCAUUUUACCCCCCUCCGCACCCACUCAACACUGCUGGUCACCCAUUAAGCGCAACAUUAGAUGAGUUCUCUGUCCUCUUCUCUGUGGUAUAAUCUAGAAUAAUAAUAUUAUUGUCGAUUGACUAGGAAUAUCGAUACCAUAUUGAAGUAUCGAAGCAUGAUAGUCAAUAUGUUGUCUGUUGAGUCGAGUCAUCAAGCCGUUACCCGUCCGGCCUUUUGAAACAUUAAAAUUUAUGAAGAAAACAAAUAAAAAUGAAUUUUCAUUUGGUAUAACCCUUUAAUAUUGCAUAAAGCAUAAUCAUAGCAUAUGCUAUAUUAUUUGCGAGUGCAUAAAUAUUAAUUAAUUCAAGACUACAGGCAUCGUCUACUGAAAAUAAGGUCCACCUUGUAUGAUGUGACUAUCUUAUUCAAUAUUUCUGGUUUUGAGGAAAGCAUUUGCCAAUCAUGUCAAACGUCUACCUUGUAUGAUGUGACUAUCUUCUUAUUCAAUAUUUGUGGUUUUGAGGAAAGCAUUUGCCCAUCAUAUCAAUUAUCAUGUUACUGAGGACAGUGGAUAAAAUUGAUAUGGUGUUUUGUUACCAUGCUAUGGGAGGGUAAUGGUGGAUGAGUGAGGGAUGACACUAACAGGACAAUAAGAAUCGCGUUUGAGAGAACUGAAAUGCAUUCUAAGCUAGUAUUUCAUCUUAGCCAAGUAUUCAAGUUUAUGAAACUACUGUCUGUAAGACAGGCAUCACGAUGUAAGCAAAUACAGUUGUAGCAAAUAAUAUUAUAUCUUUGAUAAAUAAAAUUAAUUUGAAUUUAUUCGAA